CUAGUAACACCUGUUCCGAUUUGAUCGCUUUCUGCGUGUCAGCGCAGUGUUUUUCUCUUGUGACCACUUCCUCGUCGUCUUUUUCCUAUCCCGCCCCUCGUGACAAGUUCAGCUCAAGCUAGCCAAUAUGCCAACAACUCAGCAGCUGUAAGAUGACUGAACUGUUACUGUCCCUCGGUGCUCGUUUACCUUAUACAUCAGCUCCUAAAAGGUUGAACCCAAAGGUAAUUAAGCUCGUGAUCCGGCUUAUGGCACGGUGUAAACAGACACCGUAAUGGAAAACUGACGCGUCAUUUAGCAAAAGGCUCUUCUGCUGUAUUAGGCUGGGCUUCCCCAUAUGACAGCGCACGGGGGAGGGAUUCCUUCUACGUCAGCCAAAGAGCUUCAUUGCGUCAUUGACGGCUUCCUCUUUUUGGUGUGACUGAGACAAGACACAUCCUUUCUUUUCUCCGACCGCACGGUCUAAAGAGGAAGAGCGAAUCUAGAGAGAUCGGUGGCGCGGCUCCCGCUCCUGUCCGCGCAUCACAUGUGGAAGAAUGAAGGAGAUUCCGCGGCUGCCUUGAGAAAUAACAGGCUCGUGAGAAAAGUCUUUGAACAGGAAAAAGAUGCCAACUCGGAAAGAAGAGGUGUGAAAGUACUAUGUGAGAAACAACUGAUAUGGAUUGCCUCUAUCAUCACCUUGUAGCCCACUCAGCAAGCACAGCAAGCAUACUGUAUCUGGAUCAGGACAUGCUACUUUAAAAUGCAGCACAAGCAUCUCUCCUUGGCUGAUGGUUGGCUGUUGAUUUACCUUGGCUGAUGGUUGGCUGUUGAUUUAUUGUAACUAAAAGGUAGCCAACUAGAGUAUAAUUGUUUAGUAGUACGAAAAUUUACAGACAACUUGCAGAGACAGGAUGUUUUUACAUUUGUCAGGAGUUAUAGUGCUCAGAAUAUCAGAUGAUGGAUGUCAAUAAAGCUUUUUUCUUUAAAUAUCUUUCGUCAUAUGAAUUAUUUCUGCAAGUUAAAGUGAAACAGCAGUAUGGUCAGAUUGUUGACCUUACAGAUGAACAUGUCUGUAGAUAAGGCAGACAGGGCCAUAAACACCAUAGACACUCCAUAGUAUUCAGAAUAGUUGUAUCAAUAGGCCUAUGGAUUUUUCAAUAUUUGAUUUAUAAAAUGUUAUUCCUAUCUGGAAUAUUUCAUUACAUACUUUUUAUUUGUGAUCAGCAGAAUGCAAUUUUAAUAUAUGCUUAAUUGGUACACAAAAAUUUACUUUUUAAUUAUUUUUUUUAACUGUCCUGACUAGUAACUGGAAGUUCAAGAGUAGUAGCCUAGUGCAGUGGUUCCCAAUCCUGGUCCUGGAGGCCCCCCAACACUGCACAUUUGAGAUGUCUCCCUGUUCAAACACACCUGAUUCAGAUCAUCAGCUCAUUAGUAGAGACUCGAAGAUCUGAAUUUGGUGUCUCAAACAAAGGAGGGAUACAAAAUGUGCAGUGUUGGGGGACCUCCAGGAACGUGGUUGGGAACCACUGGCCUAGUGCAAAGUUCAAGACACACUAAAAUAAUAUUUGUAAUUGUAUGUAGGUUUGUUUUUAUUCCCAGUUAAAAGGGAAACGUUUAAGCAUGCGAAUAACCGCAUGGCUCGGGAGACGUGGCGUUUACUGGCACUGUCAAUCCCUCGCACACCCUAUAUUGUAGUAACCUACUCAGACAGCUAACUUCCGUUUUCAUUUUUUCUUCGAACACUUUCAUGUUUUGACACGUUCAGGGUGUGCUGGUGUAACCCUCCCCUCCCCUCGUGGGCUCGUUGUGGUUUUCUUUAAGAGGAAACUGUCUCAUGCGGCAGCAAUAAUAGCUGAAAAUUUAAGGGAAAAUGUAAAAAAAAAAAACAUAUAAUGCAUUUACCCAUUUCUAAAAAUAUAUAUAUUCUAACAAUAUAAACAGAUAUAGGCUACAUAAAAUGGUAUUGCUAAAAAUAUUUAUUUAUUUAUUUGUUUUAAUCCCCUUAAUGAAUCAUGUUUAAAACGUAAAAAGGCUGUGUUUCGUUUUACACUUUCUAAUGCUCAUCUUUGAUCAUCUGCUAGUUAUUUGUGUCUUCUCCUCACUAUUUUUAACUAAAUUCAACCAGUUGCAGUAUGCUGCUAUAAUUAGAACAAUAAACGUGCGGAUUGUUUGCGUCAAUGGAAUCCCGUGUGUGCGUCAUGUCUUUUGACUGUGAGCGCUCUGAUUGGUCGGCAGCCGGAAAGAAUUGCCAAGGAUCUCCGCCCCUGCAUGGCCAUAUUUGC
rnacentral:lncRNA from 1 species